rnacentral:rRNA from 1 species
UACGGAGGGUGCGAGCGUUGUCCGGAAUCACUGGGCGUAAAGGGCGCGUAGGCGGCGCGGGGAGUCAACGGUGAAAGCUCGGCGCUCAACGCCGAGUCGGCCGUCGAUACUCCUGGGCUCGAGCACUGUAGAGGCAGAUGGAAUUCCGGGUGUAGCGGUGGAAUGCGUAGAGAUCCGGAAGAACACCGGUGGUGAAGGCGGGUCUCUGGGCCGAUACUGACGCUGAGGAGCGAAAGCGUGGGGAGCGAACAGG